GCAGGUGGGUUGCCCGAGCGGCCUAAGGGAACGGUCUUGAAAACCGUCGUGGCAGCGAUGUCACCGUGGGUUCAAAUCCCACCGCCUCCGC
rnacentral:tRNA from 1 species